rnacentral:rRNA from 1 species
UGAGGAAUAUUGGUCAAUGGGCGCAAGCCUGAACCAGCCAUCCCGCGUGAAGGAUGAAGGCCCUAUGGGUCGUAAACUUCUUUUAUACACCAAGAAAAAGCAGGACGUGUCCUGCCCCGACGGUAGUGUAUGAAUAAGCAUCGGCUAACUCCGUGCCAGCAGCCGCGGUACUACGGAGGAUGCAAGCGUUAUCCGGAUUCAUUGGGUGUAAAGGGUGCGUAGGCGGCUUUUUAAGUCAGUGGUGAAAUCUUGCCGCUUAACGGUAAAAUUGCCAUUGAUACUGAUAAGCUUGAGUACAAGUGAGGUAAGCGGAAUGUGUAGUGUAGCGGUGAAAUGCUUAGAUAUUACACAGAACACCGAUUGCGAAGGCAGCUUACUAAACUGUCACUGACGCUGAUGCACGAAAGCGUGGGGAGCGAACA